rnacentral:rRNA from 1 species
UACGUAGGGGCUAGCGUUGUCCGGAUUUAUUGGGCGUAAAGAGCGUGUAGGCGGCCAGGUAGGUCUGCUGUGAAAACUCGAGGCUCAACCUCGAGACGUCGGCGGAAACCAUCUGGCUAGAGUCCGGAAGGAGGAGAGUGGAACUUCUGGUGUACGGUGAAAUUCGUAGAUAUUCGCAAGAACACCAGUGGCGAAGGCGGCUCACUGGCCCGGUACUGACGCUGAGGUGCGAAAGCGUGGGGAGCAAACAGG